GACGAACGCUGGCGGCGUGCCUAAUACAUGCAAGUCGGGCGGACCGAACGAGAUCUUGCUCUUGUUUAGUCAGCGGCGGACGGGUGAGUAACACGUGGGCAACCUGCCCGCGAGACCGGGAUAACUCCGGGAAACCGGAGCUAAUACCGGAUAACACCGAAGACCGCAUGGUCUUCGGUUGAAAGGCGGCCUUUGGGCUGUCACUUGCGGAUGGUCCCGCGGCGCAUGAGCUAGUUGUUGAGGUAACGGCUCACCAAGGCGACGAUGCGUAGCCGGCCUGCGAGGGUGACGGGCCGCACUGGGACUGAGAGAGGGCACAGACUCCUACGGGAGGAGGCAGGAGGGAAACUUCCGCAAGGGGCGAAAGCGUGGAGGAGCGAAGCCGGGUGAGAGAAGAAGGGCAGCGGGUCGGAAAGCUCUGUUGUGAGGGAGGAAGGAGAGCCGUUCGAGGAGGGCGGGGAAGUGACGGUACCUCACGAGAAAGCCCCGGCUAACUACGUG
rnacentral:rRNA from 1 species